rnacentral:lncRNA from 1 species
GGUGAAGCUGUGUCUCUAGAGAUGGGGGGUGAAGCUGUGUCUCUAGAGAUGGGGGGUGAAGCUGUGUCUCUAGAGAUGGGGGGUGAAGCUGUGUUCUAGAGAUGGGGGGUGAAGCUGUGUCUCUAGAGAUGGGGGGUGAAGCUGUGUCUCUAGAGAUGGGGGGUGAAGCUGUGUCUCUAGAGAUGGGGGGGUGAAGCUGUGUCUCCAGAGAUGGGGGGUGAAGCUGUGUUUCUAGAGAUGGGGGGGGAAGCUGUGUCUCUAGAGAUGGGAGGUGAAGCUGUGUCUCUAGAGAUGGGGGGUGAAGCUGUGUCUCUAGAGAUGGGGGGUGAAGCUGUGUCUCUAGAGAUGGGGGGUGAAGCUGUGUCUCUAGAGAUGGGAGGUGAAGCUGUGUCUAGAGAGAUGGGCGGUGAAGCUGUGUCUCUAGAGAUGGGGGGUGAAGCUGUGUCUCUAGAGAUGGGGGGUGAAGCUGUGUCUCUAGAGAUGGGGGGUGAAGCUGUGUCUAGAGAUGGGGGGUGAAGCUGUGUCUCUAGAGAUGGGGGGUGAAGCUGUGUCUCUAGAGAUGGGGGGUGAAGCUGUGUCUAGAGAGAUGGGAGGUGAAGCUGUGUCUCUAGAGAUGGGGGGUGAAGCUGUGUCUCUAGAGAUGGGGGGUGAAGCUGUGUCUCUAGAGAUGGGGGGUGAAGCUGUGUCUCUAGAGAUGGGGGGUGAAGCUGUGUCUCGAGAUGGGGGGUGAAGCUGUGUCUCUAGAGAUGGGGGGUGAAGCUGUGUCUCUAGAGAUGGGGGGUGAAGCUGUGUCUAGAGAGAUGGGGGUGAAGCUGUGUCUCUAGAGAUGGGGGGUGAAGCUGUGUCUCUAGAGAUGGGGGGUGAAGCUGUGUCUCUAGAGAUGGG